AACUUCAGAGUUUCAGAAGUGGCUGCACAAAAGUAAUACUUGAUUCUCGUUAUCUAUGUUCAGUUGUAGAAUUGGUGGAAAUGGGUUAAGGAAAAGCUUUUCCUCAACAAGAGACAAAUGACAGCUCCUCCCCCAAAGACAACCAUCUCUCUGUGUUGCUGUUUUGUUGUGUUUAAUUAUCACCUUUCAAAGAGAUAAUGUAUCGUACCAUAUACUUGGAUCUGUACCAUAUUGGGGUUCUUCUUCCUGUGCCUUACUAUACUGAACACUUCUACAAGUGCAAACCUGGACUUCUUCCUCAGUCCUAAACUUCUUACUUCGUAACUCCUUCACACUAUGGUGUGAUCAUCAUAUACAUGUUUGGCCAUUCAUGCAAUAACAACUCCUACUAUUCAAGCACAAAGAAAAUCUCACUUUAUGUGAAAAUAUGUAAUGCACA
ensembl:lncRNA